UACGAAGGGGGCUAGCGUUGUUCGGAAUUACUGGGCGUAAAGCGUGCGCAGGCGGCUGCUCAAGUCAGGGGUGAAAGCCCAGAGCUCAACUCUGGAAUUGCCUUUGAGACUGAGUGGCUUGAGUACGGGAGAGGUGAGUGGAAUUCCCAGUGUAGAGGUGAAAUUCGUAGAUAUUGGGAAGAACACCGGUGGGCGAAGGCGGCUCACUGGCCCGUAACUGACGCUCAUGCACGACAGCGUGGGGAUCAAACAGG
rnacentral:rRNA from 1 species